rnacentral:rRNA from 1 species
AACGAACGCUGGCGGCAUGCCUAACACAUGCAAGUCGAACGAGACCUUCGGGUCUAGUGGCGCACGGGUGCGUAACGCGUGGGAACCUGCCCUUAGGUUCGGAAUAACUCCCCGAAAGGGGUGCUAAUACCGGAUAAUGUCUUCGGACCAAAGAUUUAUCGCCUCUGGAUGGGCCCGCGUUGGAUUAGCUAGUUGGUAGGGUAAAAGCCUACCAAGGCGACGAUCCAUAGCUGGUCUGAGAGGAUGAUCAGCCACACUGGGACUGAGACACGGCCCAGACUCCUACGGGAGGCAGCAGUGGGGAAUAUUGGACAAUGGGCGAAAGCCUGAUCCAGCAAUGCCGCGUGAGUGAUGAAGGCCUUAGGGUUGUAAAGCUCUUUUACCCGGGAUGAUAAUGACAGUACCGGGAGAAUAAGCUCCGGCUAACUCCGU